rnacentral:rRNA from 1 species
UACGAAGGGUGCAAGCGUUACUCGGAAUUACUGGGCGUAAAGCGUGCGUAGGUGGUUUGUUAAGUCUGUUGUGAAAGCCCCGGGCUCAACCUGGGAAUGGCAAUGGAUACUGGCAAGCUAGAGUGCGGUAGAGGGUAGUGGAAUUCCCGGUGUAGCGGUGAAAUGCGUAGAGAUUGGGAGGAACACCAGUGGCGAAGGCGGCUACCUGGACCAGCACUGACACUGAGGCACGAAAGCGUGGGGAGCAAACAGG